CAGCACCUCAAGUGGUCAGGAUGAUUAUUGGGCCUAAAGCAUCCGUAGCCGGCUCUGUAAGUUUUCGGUUAAAUCUGUACGCUCAACGUACAGGCUGCCGGGAAUACUGCAGAGCUAGGGAGUGGGAGAGGUAGAUGGUACUCGGUAGGAAGGGGUAAAAUCCUUUGAUCUAUUGAUGACCACCUGUGGCGAAGGCGGUCUACCAGAACACGUCCGACGGUGAGGGAUGAAAGCUGGGGGAGCAAACCGGAUUAGAUACCCGAGUAGUCC
rnacentral:rRNA from 1 species